rnacentral:lncRNA from 1 species
GGCUUUGUAAAAUAUACAAAUUUGUUAUGCUUUGAUACAUAUGUACUAAAAAACUCACACUGAAUGGUAAUUAUAGGGUAUUAGCUAGAAGCAACAGAGUAUUAUAAAUUCUGACUGUUUAAACAAUGGACUUUCAUUUAUGUUAAAAUUACCCUAACCCAAACUCUAGUGAAAUAAAAACAAAGAAUAGUUUAUAGGUAGAAUAUUAGCACCACAAUAUAUAUUUUCAUUAGCGGCAGCCUCAACAUUUUCUUUUUUU